UACGUAGGUGGCGAGCGUUGUCCGGAAUUACUGGGUGUAAAGCGCGUGUAGGCGGGAGGCCAAGUCUGUGGUGAAAUCGCUCGGCUUAACUGGGCGGGGUCCAUGGAAACUGGUCACCUGGAGGUCGGUAGAGGCAAGUGGAAUUCCCGGUGUAGUGGUGAAAUGCGUAGAGAUCGGGAGGAACACCAGUGGCGAAGGCGGCUUGCUGGGCCGGACCUGACGCUGAGACGCGAAAGCGUGGGGAGCGAACCGG
rnacentral:rRNA from 1 species